UAGGGAAUUUUCGUCAAUGGGGGAAGCCCUGAACGAGCAAUGCCGCGUGUGUGAAGAAGGUCUUCGGAUCGUAAAGCACUGUUGUAAGUGAAGAAUGCCAUAUAGAGGAAAUGCUAUGUGGGUGACGGUAGCUUACCAGAAAGCCACGGCUAACUACGUGCCAGCAGCCGCGGUAAUACGUAGGUGGCAAAGCGUUAUCCGGAAUCAUUGGGCGUAAAGGGUGCGUAGGUGGCACGAUAAGUCUGAAGUAAAAGGCAACAGCUCAACUGUUGUAUGCUUUGGAAACUGUCGAGCUAGAGUGCAGAAGAGGGCGAUGGAAUUCCAUGUGUAGCGGUAAAAUGCGUAGAUAUAUGGAGGAACACCAGUGGCGAAGGCGGUCGCCUGGUCUGUAACUGACACUGAUGCACGAAAGCGUGGGGAGCAAAUAGGGAUUAGAUACC
rnacentral:rRNA from 1 species